UAACUUGUGCUGCAGGGGAGACACCAUGAUCACAAAGGUGGUUUUCCCAGGGCGAGGCUCAUCCAUUGCACUGCGGGUGUGCUGACCCCUGCGAUUUCCCCAAAUGCGGGAAACUCGACUGCAUAAUUUGUGGUAGUGGGGGACUGCGUUCGCGCUCUCCCCUG
rfam:Chelonia mydas contig171497, whole genome shotgun sequence.